rnacentral:lncRNA from 1 species
GUGGUGGGAAUCCUCCUCCAGGAGGAUUUGUUAUUGGUGGAAAAAUUCCGGGAGGGUUUAUUAUUGGUGGAAGAAUGCCAGGUGGCCUUGUGAUUGGUGGUAGGAUGCCAGGUGGCCUAGUGAUUGGAGGGAUUACAACAGGAGGAUUAACUAUAGGUGGUAAAACUCCAGGUGGCGGUCUAGUCACUGGGGGUGAAAUGCCAGGUGGACGAGUGAUCGGAGGCGAAACGCCAGGUGGACGAGUGAUCGGAGGUGAUACGACAGGUGGAGGAAAGACGAUAGGUGGCAAAACCUUAGGAGGUGGCGGUUUGGUGGUUGGUGGAUGAGGACGGGGAGUCGAUGGUGGAGGGUGGGGUCUACCGGGAGCCUUAGGUGGAUGAGGGUGAUGAUGACCUGGAGAUUUUGGAGGAUGUGGAGGACGCGGAGUAGUGCCAGGUGGACUAGGUCGUUGGUAAGGUGGAUAAGGAGGAGUACAUGGGCAUUGACCAGAUGAAGCAUAAGCUGGUGGUAACAAACAUAUUGACAUGAAAAUCAUACACAUGUAGAACAUUGCUGAAAUCUUUGAUGAACCCAUAAUGCCUCCUCCAAUUUUCUUCUUCUUUUGGGGUUCUAAAAGUGUGGAUGCAUUAUAAAAAAAAACUUUUAUGUUCUUGAUUUUUCUUGUACACUAUAGUUUAUAUAGGUGAAUAUAUGUGUAACCCGUGAAGGGUUAUUACUUGAAAUUGAAGUGAGAGAGCAACACGUAGGUGGAGGAAUUCCAAAGUGAUAGGUGUUGCAAUUGAAAUGAAAACUUUGGAUCUAUGUUCUUUCAUUGCAAGUUGCAACCUUCAACAUCCAAUCCGUGAAUACUGAUUAAAUAGUCCGUGAAUAGUUGCUUUUAGUACUGUAUUUCACAAAGUGUUCAUUUUGCACAGAUUUUAAGGCACUUCAUGUACUGUGCAUUACAUAUUGUAUUCUGGAGUUUCUCCUAAUUUGUUUGGAUAUUGAAUCCUCCUACUAGAAUGCUAAGCUUGAAAGGGAAAUUAAAUCUGAUCUUCUUUUCUAUCGUUCUGAAAAUAAUUAUUUGGUACUUCACAUAACUGAAAAUACUAUGACAACAAAAUAUUUUUUGUUGUAUAUAUAAUAAUAAUAAAUAUUUUUUACACUAUCAAGUGUCCCAAAGAAUAUCUACUGAUAACUCUCGAUAUAACUUUAACUCUUCUUUAAUUUUAUAGACCAAAAACAUCGGCCACAAACGCCUGCAUUCUAUAAGUUACGCUGUAAUCUGAAAUAUUAGCAAAAAAUCUCAGUUUAAUUUGAUUGAAAUGUCUCUUUAGCUUGCUCUAAAAAAAAAAAUCAAACAGUAAAUAGUGAAGUAUUCGUCUUGUUCAUUUCACCAAGGCAUCAUGUGAACCUUUCUUGAGAUUCUUUCAACUUCGAGGUUUCAGUCUUUCAGACUGGAAAAGGGAGCAAAAGAAAAACUUUUAUUUUGGCCUCCACAGUCCACACCAAAGACGAAUAAGUAUGACGAAAAAAUUAUUGCAAUAAUUACCACUCGAUCUAUUGACUUUGAUAUUUAACACAUAUACUAUUAGUUUGUUUGUCUACUUUAACAACAAUAACAACAAAAAUAAAUAUUCAGUGUAAUUUCACAAGUAGAAUUCUCAAUCACAAAUAGAAUUUUGAGAGUUGAUCGGAUUUCGUUUAUCCAGACUACUUUACCCUAUCUUUGUGGAUAAAAGUUGUUUCCAAUCGACUCUUGAUUCAAGAAAAUCGUUUUUUGGGAUAGACUUGAACAACAUCAUAUACGAGUGAAAUAAGUCAUGAUGAGCAUAUUGAAGAAAAAAACACUGAGAGUAUAUAAUCAAUGUAUACACAUUACCUCUCCAAAAAUGAUUGAUAAGCUCAAUCAUCCAAAAAAGGAAAAGAUAUAUACACCUAUACAUAACCUCUUCCAUUAUAGGAAAGUAAAAUCAACUAAUAAAAAUAUUAGCCUUUGUUAAUUUUUUUUCUAUUGCCGAAUACUUGUUAUCUAUCUAGUUGAAAUGGCCCUUCGCCUCUUUUGAUAAUUAACCAAGAAACUGUCAUCCGAAUUGAUUUUGACUCUGUUUGCAUCAAGUUUAAUCCAGUUUAAUUCAUUCUUUCAAUGAUGUAUAUCACACAUCACUAACCAAGUAUACCUUCUAAUUAAUAGGAGUAUCGAUAAACUUAUCUAGCUGAGUUGGUUAGCUACUUAAAUUUUACAUUGUUAGUGAAGAUUAUUCGAUUUUCCACCUUGUAAUCCCUUUCCGUGUUUAUCCUUCCCCUUCCCCUUCCCCAAACCCCAAUAGGAAAAGAUAAAAAAAGAAGCUAAUAUUAAGUAUUGCUUUUCCACCAGAAAUGCUAUAAAUAACAAAGUUAAAUAAUCCAUAUUUUUACCUUUUUCUGAAAAGAGUUAGUUUUGAGUGUUCUAGGAAAAAACAAAGUUUAAUUAAUCACCAUUCACAUGUCUUAUUAGUCUUUACGCACCAUAUUCUUCGGUUUGAACUAAUCAAGAAUUACGUAUUAAACAACUCAUGACUUAUAUCUUUCUUUGGACUAUUUUUGUUGGAUAUGAACAAAUAUCUCAUAUAUAUUAGUAGUUAAAUAAAGGAAGUUGCAUAUAAUAUGCAGGAAAUAAUAUUUUUAAUGAUAUGGACGUAUAAUUAUUGCUGUUGUGUGACAUUUUUCGAUAAAAUCAUGUGUUAUUAGUUUGAAGAGAUACAAGUAAAGAGAUGACAGAACAAUAGUAUAGGCUCGAUUUACUCUCUUUAUUGGGUCAAUAGCUUUUUCCACUCUUACAGAUCUAACCUAUUUUUAUUUUGUCAAAAAAAAAAAGAAGUUAUUUUUAUUAUAUUGGGGUCUAUUAAGUUAUUCCCUUAGUCUAAAUUACAAUUUUUUUUGUGUCACAAAAUGUCCUCCCACUUUCAACAAUCAUGCUACUUUCAAGCAUUUCUGUGGUUAAGUUUGCUGCUGUUCCCACUUUAGUAGUUACUAUAUUUUUUAAGUGUACUUUCUUAACUUAUCAAAUCCAAGAAAGUAAGAAAUAUCCUCUUUCUCUUUCUCGUUGAGCCUAUCCCUUUUGAAAGACCAAUUUUCCUAGAGAAGACAUGCAUGCAUGACAUUCAUUGUUGACGUAUUAGCAGAGCGAGAAAUUCUAAUAAGAGAAUUCAAAAAGCUGGAAGAAUAUGUACCUAUGACCUAAAGUACGAGGAACUCAAACAAGAGAAUUCAAAAAGCUACAAGAAUAUCAUACGUGUGAUUUGUACCAAUGACCUAAAGUACGAGGAAUUCUAACAAGAGAAUUCAAAAAGCUGCAAGAAAAUCAUCAUACGCGUAAUUAAUUUAUAGAUGUAACCUAAAGUAGGUAAUUUUUGAGUCACAUUUGAUCAGAAUGUCGGACGAUAUAAUAAUAUCGAACUCCGAAACGAUAGUAUGUUAUGCACCAACGAUGAUAACCACAACUGGGAUAUGGCAAGGUGAUAAUCCUCUUGAUUAUUCAUUGCCACUUUUCAUAGUGCAAUUGACCUUGGUGGUGGUUGUCACUAGACUUCUCGUUUUCAUCUUGAAACCAAUUCGUCAACCUCGUGUUAUUGCUGAGAUUCUUGUAAGUAAUUUAUACAAUUCUCCAGAAUUUAAUUAUAUGAUCAUUCCUAUUUUCAUUUUCAUUAUUUGUCAAGCAUACGUCGUUUCAUAAGGGGGAAACCCUUGAUGUAAUCAAUCGUUGUGUGACCUGAGGUCGCAAAUUUAAGCAUAGUUGAUAACCUCUUGCGGAAACAUGAGGUGAAACUGCAUAUAGUAGACCUAAUAUGGUCCAACUUUUCCUCGUAGCCCAUGCACAACGCGAGAGCUUAAUUAGAGACCAUGUCUGCAUUUUAUAGUGCACUAAUUUAAUGGUUGUUAGGACAAUUACAAUUGUAUCUCUUAUUUCUUGUUGGAUAAAAUGAUCUAGAGUUGAGUAUCUUAUUGGUAAAGCAAAUUCGACUAUAAGAGGAGGACUGCUAUAAUCUUGUUAGCUUUGUUUUAUAAACUACUUGUAUAUUAAUAUUGUGCAAAAUGGUGGCAGGGUGGUGUAAUUUUAGGGCCAUCAGUAUUGGGAAGAAGUAACAAAUUUGCUGAAACAAUAUUUCCUCAGAGAAGUGUUAUGGUUCUUGAAACAAUGGCAAAUAUUGGCCUUCUUUACUUCCUUUUUCUAGUUGGAGUAGAAAUGGACAUUGCUGUGAUUCGUCAAAAUUGUUGCAUGAGAAAUCACAAAAUACCAAAGAAGGAACUUUCAUUCUCUUCCUUGGCCUCGCGCUUUCUGUUACUUCAUUUCCAGUUCUUGCUAGAAUCCUCGCGGAACUCAAACUUAUCAACACUGAAAUUGGGAAGCUCGCGAUGUCUGCUUCACUUAUUAAUGAUAUGUUGGCAUGGGUUGUCUUAGCUUUUGCUAUUGCCUUUACUGAGAAUAAAGACACGAGUUUGGCUUCUCUUUGGGUGAUCCUCUCAAGCAUUGCCUUUAUUUGCUUAUGCUUUUUUGUAGUUAAGCCAUUGAUUGGAAGGAGGAUUAAACAGACCCCAGAAGGCGAAUCGAUUAGUGAGUUCAAUGUAUGUCUCAUUCUCUCAGGGGUUAUGAUUGCUGGAUUCAUAACAGAUGUUAUUGGAACACAUUCUGUUUUUGGUGCUUUUGUCUUUGGUUUGAUUAUCCCUAGUGGUCCUCUUGGUUUGACCCUUAUAGAAAGGCUAGAGGACUUUGUUUCAGGGCUUUUGUUGCCCCUUUUUUUCGCCAUUAGUGGUCUCAAGACACAGGUUAGUGCUAUUGAUGGAGCAACAACAUGGGGAGUUUUAUUUGUUGUUAUAAUCCUGUCUUGUGCUGGCAAAGUAAUAGGUGUAGUCCUUGUAAGUUUUUUCUACCAAAUGCCGUUUUAUGAAGGCCUUUCUCUUGGUUUCCUCAUGAAUGCCAAAGGCCUUGUUGAGAUGAUUGUGCUCAAUGUUGGUAAAGACCAAAAGGUAAUGGUAAUUGUAACACAUACACUUUCAUCUAUUUCGUGGAAAAACCCUCUUACAGAAAUGCAUGGUAAGGCCGAGUACAGUAGACCCUUGUGGUCCGGCCUUUUCCCGGACUCUAUGCAUAGCGGGAGCUUAGUGCACCGGGAUGCCCUUUUUACUUUUAUCUAUUCGUCUUCACACAACUCAAAAGUACUAAAUACUUGUGUAAAUGCAGGUUCUUGAUGAAAAAUCUUUUGCUAUAAUGGUGAUUGUAGCAUUAGGCAUGACUGCAGUAAUCACCCCCAUUGUGACAAUGGUCUACAAACCAUCAAAAAAUUUCACCCCAUACAAGAGAAGAACAGUUCAAAAAAUAAAAUUGGAUAGGGAAUUUCGAGUAGUUGUCAGCAUCCACACCCCUAGAAUCGUUCCAACAGUUAUCAGUCUUCUUGAAUCUUCCUGUCCUACCAAGAAAUCACCAAUAUGCGUAUACGCCCUACACCUUGUCGAGCUCACUGGCCGUGCAUCUGGAAUGCUUAUUGUCCAUAACAUGAGAAAAUCAGGGAGGCCAGCUAUGAACAGGACACAAGCUCAAUCGGAUCACAUCAUCAAUGCAUUCGAGAACUUUGAGAAAAGCACAGGAUGUGUCUAUGUGCAGACUCUCACUGCCGUCUCCCCUUACUCCACUAUGCAUGAAGACAUUUGCGUCACAGCUGAGGAAAAACGUGUGGCGUUAAUCAUCGUCCCUUUUCACAAGCAACAAGCAGUUGAUGGUGGACUCGAAGCUACAAAUCCAGCAUUCCGAACAAUUAACCAGAAUGUAUUAGCAAAUGCACCUUGCUCCGUUGGAAUACUAGUUGACAGAGGCUUAAGUGGAUCUGCAAGGUCCACAAUGAACCAAGUUUCUCAUCAUGUCGCGGUGUUAUUCUUUGGAGGACCAGAUGAUCGCGAAGCAUUAGCCUAUGCUUGGAGAAUGAGUGAACACCCAAACGUUAAUUUAACUGUUAUGCGUUUCCUCCCUGGAGAAACCGUAAUUGAAACAGAAAGAUCAGACUCAACCAACAGCAGGAAGAAAAGCAGGAAUGACCAUAGUAUACUAACAGUUGAAACAGAACGCGAUAGGGAAAAACAGCUCGAUGAGGAAUAUGUAACACACUUCAGGAUGAAAACAGGUAAUGAUGAAUCAAUAGCUUACAUAGAAAGAGUAGUGAAUCAUGGAGAAGAAACAGUAGGAGCAAUAAGGACUAUAGAUAACUCACAUGACUUGUUCAUAGUUGGUAGAGGACAAGGCACUAUCUCCCCAUUAACAUCAGGGCUAACUGAUUGGAGCGAAUGCCCGGAGCUUGGUGCUAUUGGGGAUCUAUUAGCUUCUUCAGAUUUCGCGAUGACUGCUUCAGUAUUAGUGGUGCAACAAUACGUAGGAAUGGGUUCAGGGGAUCCCUUAGCCAUUCCGGAUAGUCCUAGCCAGCAUUCCGAACACGUCAACAUUGAACAAACGAAUCGUAGGUCACAUAGCAGCUAUACGUCACAAAGCAGCUAUAGAGAACAACUACAACAACAACGACAACCUGAUUUUCAUUCACAACAUUGAAAACUUGGUAGGAUUCUUGUCCAUAUCAAUUAUUUUUUUUUGUUAACUAUUCUUGAAUUUUGUUACUUGUAAAAUGUAAAGUUCUUUUAUGCUUCCUACUCUCAACAUAUCAUUCAUACUUGAUGUAUAUGGUAUUCCAUUGAAAGAGUAAAGUGAAGAUAACGUAUGAAACAGUUUUAUUUUCCUUUGUUGCUUCUAUUGUUCUCUUGGUUCCAAUUUUAAACAUUACGAUUAUUAUGAAUGUCGGACUCUUAACUCCAAAGGUGAAACUAGAAUUUCUAGAAUAUGGAUGCGCUACUAAUGAAUGGCGAUAAACAACUUAGCAUUCAACCAAGUGCACCAUUCAAAUCCUUUCCCCGUGAGGGCACUAAUUCGAAGAAGAACAUUGUGUAGAUAAGAAAAGGAUACUAAUGAUAAUAAGCAAUUACAAAACUCAAUUGAUUUUCAUAUUUAUCAUGGAUAUUUUGUUUCAUUAGUAGUAAUGUAUAUAAUGAAUAAAUCACAACAACAAUCACCUUGACCUUGUCAACCUUGAUGAAAUAUUGCAAAACUAAACCAUCUUAUUUUUAUUUUUUUUGAAUUCUAAUCCAUCUUAUUCAACCUAUUACGUUGAAUUAUCUUUUCUAAACAAUGAGAAAUUUAGUGAAACAUAAACACCUUAGAUGAGUUUCUAAACGCUUGUUCACCACCUUACCAUAUUUAUACCUUGUCACAGUUCUUCACAUGAUUCAAGAUGGAGUUUUAAGUUUUGUGCACUGUGUACAAAUAUUCUAUACUAUCAGAUAAUUUGAUCUGCUAUUGUAAGUUACCCAAUUAUUUACAUAAAAAUUGAAAAAGGAAAAUUAGGUAACUUGCAAUAGCAAGUCAAAUUUACCUAAUAAUGUAGAAUAUUAUGAACACUGACAGUGCAUGAAACUUAAAUUCGGAUGGAUAUCAUACCCUAACCCCUUCCAAUAGAAGGUGUAUCCUCAGAUUCAAUUUGUUUGUUUAGUUUCGACUUGUCACGAAGUUAAAAAAAAAAAUAAAGAUGAUUUUUGAAUUUUGUGUUUUGAACUAAAGAUAUAGAACAUAUCGAAAUAUUCUUAAUCUUAUGUUUUAAACAUGACAUGUGAAAGGUUGGAAUUAAAUAGUUGUCAUAAUAAGAAAGUGAUAUUAUUUUUUAAAUGGAUUAUUAAGACCCAAAGUAAAACCAACAAAGUGAAAUUGAAAGGAGAGAGUGGCAAUCUUUGUGCAAGUAUUUUCAAUUUCAGAGUGUCCUCAACAUGUGACUUGUGGUAUAAUUGUAUGACAUCCUUCCUCAAUUGUUCAUCAAGCCCUACUAAUGGUCUUCCAUUAUUCCUCAGUUGAUCAUGUACAAAAGUGUACCCUUGAUAUCAGCUCUUCUAUUUCUGACUCAUGAAUUUUUCAUCCAUGCUCCAGUUUUAUUUUUUCAAUUCCAAGGUAUUACUAACAUGGAUUGUGUUGCAGUGGUAAGCCUCUUCGCCCUUAAUCAGGAGUCUCGGGUUUGAGUCCUGAAUAUUGAGAAAAUCCUGUUGGAAAUCUCACUUCAAGACUAGGCGUUACAGUGCUAUAUCCAAAUUAAUCGAAGCUCUAACGCAAAUACCGAUCGAACAGGGAAUAAAGAAAAACAUGUUAGUCUUGAUGGUGGCAAGUAGAGUUUCUUGAUGGUGGCAAGUAGAGUUAAUAUUGUCACAUGUAGCCUAGAGGCUAUUCAACACGAAAUAUUUUUCUUGUAGUCGAUCAUGUAUCAAAACAAAAAGGGUAAUGUUUCUUUUAUACAAGAUUUAUCACUUAAUUAAUAUUAUAUAGUAUUUAUGUUACCUUAGUUAAUCACUUAAUCUUGAUAAAUAAACAUACUUUAGUUUAUACACUAAAAAGGGCAGCCCCGUCAAAGCUACCCGAGUGCGAGUCUGAAAAGAGUCGACCACAAAAAUCUAUUGUAUACAAUUACUUUAGUUUAUAUAGUCCUAUAUAUGCUACUUUUUGUAAUUUUUCCUUUCUUUUUCCUACCGUAUACUGCAUUUCUGCAGAAGUAAAAACAGUAUUUUGGCUGUUUGUUUUUUCUUAAUUUUCCAGUACCCAAUAUCUACAUUAAUACCCAAUUAAAUAUGAAUUCAUACAUUACAUAGCCUUCUUUUAGGAAGGACUUUUCAACAAAAUCUUUUUUAUUGUCAGAGCUCAAAUGACGAAAUUCUGAUUAAACAUAAAGAGUGUCAAUCAUCCUAUCACGGCUAUAUAAGCAUACUGUGGCUGUUUUGGUUGGCGUUUACUUCAAAAAAGAUGCUACUAUAAUUUUAUCUUUAAUCAUCGACAAAACUCACAUGUGAACCUAAUCAAUUGGCAAACUUUUUGUCAUCAAGAUUUUUGUUUUUGUAUUCUUAAAUUUUUUGGCAUCUAAAUAAACUUUCAAGACAUUAUACUUAACUAAGAGUAUCUCUCAACAGCAUCUCACUCUAUUUUCAUUUGCGUUUAAGUUAUAUACAAUUAAAGUAUCCCAAUUAUUUGAAUUUCAUAUCUUAAUUGUUAGGUGUACGAAUUUUUUAUCUAAACUAUCACCAAUUAUCUAUCAAUCACUCCUUAAUUAUCAAUAGUUUACUUUUCCUACCUAAAUCAUGGUGAUAUUUCAGAUAGGAAAAGUAAACAAUUGAUAAUGAAUUGUAUUUGAUAAAUAUAUUUAGUGAUAGUUCGUGUAGAAGACUCACCACAGUUCAAGUAUGAAAAUGAAAAUCGGGUAUUUUACCUGUGAUUUUGACCCUUCAAUGUUAAAUAAUAAAAGGCUAAAAGUGCUUAAUCAGAUAUCGCAAGAAUUGAAAUUAAAAUUUAUUAAUAAUUGAGUGAUCAAAAUAUUAUCUAACUCGUGUAAAGAUUCUCACAUGUAAGACUCCUACAAACUAAAAACAGAAAUUAUAGAUAAAGUUAUCUGAUAAUAAAUAUUUAAGAAAAAAUUAUGCAGCCCAUAUAUAAAAAUAAAAGCCUCUUCCCUUAACCAUUAGUUAUAUUCUUUUUCCUAGCCCUAGACUUCUUACCAAUGUGAUGAAAUAGGGACAUUAAUUAAAAUUGUCAUGUAACGUUAUAGGUCGACAAACACUUGACAAUACUAAAUUGUGGUCCUAUAAUGCCAUAUGUUAUACGUGUUAAAAUUUAUGUAGUUGAAUCUAGAACAUCCAUAAAAUUGUGGUCUCCUUUACUAGCCAUGUGUCAUUUCCACAAAAGAUUAAGAUAAAUUGAACACAUAUGGAGUAGCUUUUUUACAUUUCUUAUCGAAACAAUUCACAGGAUAUUCACUAUGAUUUUUGUAAGAAGAAAAAUAAUUAUAUUCACUUGAUAGUUUGGGAACUAGUGAAAAUCGAAUGACAUUCUAAUGAUAAAUAAGAAAUAAAAGAGAUUGAGAAAGAUAAUGAUUCAAUGAGAGUUGAAGAAAAGACUAGAGGAAAGUCUUAAGAAGAUGAAAAUGUGUGGUGAGAUGGUUACGAUUCAUCGAUUUUCUAUUAGAAAUUUGAAUUUGAAUCUGAAAAUAAAUAGUUCCUUAACAAAAAAUGAUGAGGAAAUCAGAAAUUUUAUCAAGUGAAUUCAAAUAAGAAAUACAUUAAUAUAUAGAUUCUUUUAUGUAAAACGAAUUCAACAAGUUAUAUGUACAUUUAAAAAAAGACCUAUAUAAAUAAUUUUCCAGGAAUAAGGAGAUUUUAAUUGAAUCUCUUUCACUAGACAAUGAUUCAUUAUUGAUAGAGAACGCUUUAGUAUCUACUACCUAUCAUUAGGACCUUCUUGCUAUAAUUUAAUUAAUCUUGAAUUAGAAUUAUUUUGCAUUGGAAUAUUUUGAAUUUCAUCCUUCCAUGCUUCAUUUAGUCCAGUCCCUCCAUGCGACUAACAUUGCAAAUUAAUUCUUUUUACGACGCGAGAGAUGCUUCCUUAAUAGUUACUAUUUCGACAUUACGUAAUAAUUUUGACUUAAAUUUUAUAAAUGAAUACUUAAUUUGUCUAUUUAUUCAUGUCUCCAUCAUAUCAGGAGUUUAACUUACAUCGAUGGUGUAAUGCAAGUUUAGAACUAGAACUUUUAUUACCAACUGAUAGUUGAAAUAUGUCUUUUUCUCCCAUGUUUAGUUUGCAAGGUAAUUAGUUAGUCCAUUCCUUCAUGUAAACUAGCUUUUCAAAUUAAUUCUUUUUAUCACUCUAGAGGAGCUCCCAUAAUAGUCAUGAUUUAGAACUUAAUAAUUUUGAUUCAAAUUUAAUAGAUAAAUAAUUAAUAUGUGGAUUAAUUCAUGUCUUCGUCAUCUCAAGAAUUUAACUAACAUAGGUCGAUGAUGUAAUGAAUAUUUUAUAUUAUCAUAUCAUUCUUAUAUAUUGUAAUAUACAUAUUUGUCUUAUUUUCAGAAUUACAUAUCGCACUUUCAUGAAUGAUUGUUUGUAAUUAACUACAUUUUGCAUGACCUGAUACACUGAUGGUAUAAAUAUUUUCUUACAUUAUCGAUGUAUAUAUAACUUUAACUGCAAUAUCAAAGCAUGAUAUAUAUAAACUCGACAAAUAUAUGUCAUUUAUUACUCAUGAUGAUACAACAAUAAGAAAGGCAAACAACUAGCUAGCCUUCCUUCUAAAUAUACUGAAUAAACUACAUAUAAUAAUUACUCCUUUGAAAAUAAACAACUAUAUAAACGUACAAAACACCAAAACACACACUGAAACAAAAUACAAAAUACUAUAUAUGAAAGUGGAAAUGUAGCUAGCUUGAUAAAUUAUGCACAUUGAAAGUUCUUGGGAACAUAUUUGCCACAAUUGUUGAGCAACAAGCUGAGGGAAAGUGGAACAUUGAGAUUAAUUCCCAACACAUUGCCUUUAAUGGCAGUGCAAAGACAAACAGCAGCAUCAACAUCAGCAAGUCCUUUAAUUAAAGAGCAACAUUUAGUCUUGGCUGGGCUACUUCCAAUGACAAGGUGCACUAAGUCAUUUAACAAACUGGCACAAGCUUUUAGCUUAAGUGUAUUCUUUGGGCACUUUCCCUUUGAUGAUGGGUUGGAUGGGGAAGAGGGGGUGGAGGGGGUAGGGGUAGGGGUAGGGUUGGAGGGUGGUGGGCAUGGGACAUAAGUGGAACUAACCAUAGUGAAAAAGAGAAUGUUCAAUGUGAGGAGAAGAGCAAUGGAGGCAAACUUAGCCAUUUUUUUAAAAACUAGCACUCUCAACAAAUGAAUGUGGCUAUUAGUAGUGAAAAUGGUGUGUGUUUUGGUGUUUGAAAUGAUGAAAUGAGAGGGUAUUUAUAGAUAAAAAUGAUCGAUUUUUUUGGCUAUUUUUUGUCAAUUUUUUGAAAACAAUGAAGAAAAUUGAGUGGCCCGUGUGGGCUAUCGCACAUUUGCACUACAAUUGUAAGAGAAUAUCAAGGCAACACAACUUAAGAUAAGACUAUUAUAGAAAUGGUGGGGAUGAUUGGGAUUCCGCUUUUAAUCAAAGAUCUCGAAUUUGAGUUUUGAAAAUAAUUAAAAAAAAACUUAUUGGGAGUGCCGUCUCAAGUGAUGAAAUCUACAAUAUGCAAAUUUAAAUUUAAUUGGGUUGUAAUACAAAUAUACAUAUGAAUUUUAAACAAAGAGAUAAGACUAUUACGAAUUUUAAGCUUGGAAUUGUAUGAAUUUAGUUAAUCUUUUAUUAUUUAUCUCUUGAAUUAAUAUACACAUUUAACCUUCCAUUUUCACGUGGGACUUGCAUUAUUCCGCUUAACAGAGGUAAAUCCAGGAUUUGAAGAGAGGGGUGCACCAUUAUUUUUAACAGAGUCAUGUCGACUAUCAACUACAUAAUUUGACAUGCAAAUUUUUUAAACUUAAAAAUUAUAAAAAAAAUUAUGGGCAAAGUAUAAACUUCAAAAUGAUCAAAUGAUAUUAAUUUAGUACUAAUACAACAGAAGUAGACCAUCCUUUCAUACUAGACAUCGACGCGUUUUCAUAUUCUGAAAACUGUCAAUGAUUGCAUCAUUGCUUAUAUUUACAAAUAUAUCCUUCUCAAUGUAACAAACUAAACAAUCCCUUAAAAAUGCAUCACCAAUACUGCUACGCAAUUUAUUCUUGAUAUGCUUCAUGGAUGAGAAAGCUCUCUCUACAGUUGCAGUAGCGACUGGUAAAAUCAACGUCAACUUCACAAGUAAAUACACAAGAGAAUAAGUCAUCACAAGAUUUGCAUUAACCAAUGCUUCUGCCAAAUCACCAAUUCCUUUCAAAUUAGAGAAUAUAUGAUCAACACGUCCCAUGUGUAUAUUGAAAGUAUCAAGUUGGUAAUUAAGCUCUCGAAACUUUGAUUCACCAAAUUCAUCCAGAUAAUGUUUGACCAAUAUCAUUAUUUUUUCCUUAUCAAAAUUAGCAAGAACAUUAGCUGGAUUCAAGCUUGCCAUACCAAGGAGCAAGUUACCACUCACAACAUCAAAGCGAUUAUUAAGCUCUUGAAGUUGCAAGUCAAUUAUAGCAUAAAAGAGCUCAACACGUAAGUGAUGUGAGUAAGUAACACUAGAAGACCUACUCUUUGACUUUUUGAAAAGAUAAAACUCAUCCAUCUUAGGCAUCAAGAUUUCAUGUUUAUCACAAAAUACACAAACUUCAUUCAUUAGAGAAUCUCAUCUAUCAUCUCUCAACAAUUGUAAUCUUUUCUUAGUAAUGUCAAGAAAUGUCAUGGCAUUGACAAUAUGUUGCUCUUUCCUUUGUAAUAAUGCACUUAGCUCAUUGGACAUCACCAAUAUCUUCAACAUCAAGUGAAGCAAGAAAGAAAAUUCAAAUUCAUUGAUCAUAGUCAAAAAAAUCCCGGCUUGUAAUCUAUCAUUGGGAUUUGAGCCUCCACAUUUAAUCGCAUCAAGCACAUGAGCUAUAGAUGAAAGUAAAAUAAUAAAUUUAUCCAGUGUUCUAAAAUGUGAAACCCUACGAGUGUCACCUGGCCUUUGAAGUCCUUGUUCUUGAUUUAAUCCUUUUCCACUUUGAACUUCACCACUUUCUAGGAGUUGCUCCAACAUUUCUGCUUGAUGGUCUCGAAGUUGAUCUCUGCGCUUAAAGGAUGCUCCUACCACAUUCAACACAUUAAUAAUAACAUCAAAAAAUUCAUCUACGAGCAAAUAUUUUUUAGCAACGGCUACAAGUAUCAAUUACAAUUGGUGAGCAAAACAAUGAAUACAAUAUGCCGAUGGAGUUUCCUACAAAAUCAAAGCUUUAAGACCGUUCAUUUCUCCCUACAUGUUACUAGCCCCAUCAUAGCCUUGUCCUCAUAUUUUAGAUGUACUUAAAGAGUGUCUCAUAAGAAAAGAGCAUAUUGUUUCCUUCAACAUUUUUGUCGAUGUAUCACCAACACGAACAAUAGAAAUAACUCACUCAUUCACUUUACCUUUUUUGGUAACAUACCUUAAUGCAACGGCCAUUUGUUCAUUGUGUGAUAUGUCUUUGGAUUCAUCAACUAAAUCCCUAAAAAAUCUCCAUUCAAGUCAUCAAUUAUAGCUUUCACGGUUUCUUGAGCACAAGCACUCACAAUAUCCUUUAAAAUUUUUGAAGAAGUCAUUAUAGCAUUUUUUGAAGCAUGUUUUAAAAUAACAUUGUUCAAAUCAGGAAGUAUUUUUUCUAGCCAUUUCAAAAGACCUAGAAAAAGGCCUUUAUUUUGGAAAGAUUCACUUUCAUCGUGACCUCGAAAAGAUAAUCCGAAUUUCAAAAGGAACUUUGCCACGUUAGUUGAAGCCUCUAAACGAAUACGAUGCACACUUCUUAUUUUUUUCAGAUUGCUUGUUCAAAGCAACUUGAAUUGAUUGAGAUUGAUUCUCAAAAUUUAGCAUAUUACUGAAAUAUCUUCUAUGGACGCUUUUUACUUCACCAACAUGUAAUUGAAAUCGCUUCAAACUAUGAUUCCAAGUCUUAAAGUCGAUUUUUGUGAAAAAAUCACCUGCAUUUCCCUUUACAUAGUCAUUUUUUGAAUAAAUAGCAACACAAACGAAACACAGCAUCUUUCUUCACACUAUGCUCCAUCCACCUAGAAUAUGAAUCUUCAUACCACGUCGAAUUAAAUCGACGCAUUUUUGUUCCAAUUCUAGUUUGAGGAAAGUGAGAAAGAAUCGGUUGACAAGGCCCUUGUUGAAUAUAGUGCCUUCUCACUUGAUCUCGUAUUGUAGAGUCACAUUCAUGAAUUGGUUUUCUUUCUCCGGAAUCAAAUUUUAGUGAAUUCACAUCAAACUCUUCUAUAAGAGGAUAAGAAUUGUCUUUAAAACUAGAGCUUGGUUGAGGAGAAUAAUAUCUAUCCAUUUCAAUUCACAAGAAUCAAUAACAAAUUCUUACAAAAUAAAAAAUUCAUCGAGAAUAUAAAUAAAAUUAAUUAUUUAUUUUUAAUCAAAGUCCAUGAACUUAAAUAGAAGCAAGAAAAAAAUAUAAAUAAAUUUUGCACACUAACUUUCUAGCAACAAAUAGAUAUUAAAAGCAUUUAUGAUUUAACAUUAUCCAAACUUAAAUUAAAAAAAUAAAAAAAUAAAAGGAAGAGAUGUAUACCUGUUAGCAUCAAAUGAAGAAUUGAAAUUGCUCCUUGUUACCUUGUUUGGCUUUUGGAAGAAUUUGGAAAAUACCGAAUAGAGCUUGAAAUUUAGGAAAAAUUACGGGGCUUGGGACUGGGAAAUAUGUAUUACCUAGAUAUAUUAAUUAAGGGUAGUGUGGGGCCAGCUGAGGUGGUUGCCUGGCUGGUGGUAAUUAAAUGUUAAGUAAAUGAAACAAAAGGCAUCCAUCAGGAUUCGAACUUGUAACGUUGGGACUCGAUGGAUGCUAACAUUUGAGUUCCGAACUAGUGCACCCAGACAUGUUUUGCUAUUAAGGGUGCACAAUUAAAUAUAUUAACAAUUUAGUAGGAUAUCUAUACAUAUAUAUACGAUUUUAAAAAAAAAAAGUUACCGGGUGCACGUGCACCCUCGCGGAAUCACGUGGUCCGCCUCUAAUUGGAGCCUGAUUAAAUUUGAAUUUCCGUCGAAAAGUUUCACAUUGGAGGGUAAAACGCUUUCUAACAAACGCAACUUCGUAUUAUGUUAGACUCAAACCCGAGACUUCUGGUUAAGGUUGAAGGAGUAUUUAUCACUCUACCACAAAUCUUUAUUUAUUUAGGUACAAUACGCCACUCUUUUCUUAUUAUUUCGUUUAAAAAAAUGACACCAUUUUAAUAUUUUAAAACAAUUAACUUUUAAAAGUUUUUAUUUUACCUUUAUUAGCUUGCUUUAAUGAUAUAAUAUUCAUGCCAUAUUUAAAUUUAUAAGUUUCAAAAAAAAUAGUUUCUUUUCUUCUUAAUUAAACUCCAUCUAACUCUACGGUGAAAUAUUGCAAUAUAAACUAAAACAAAUAAAGUAAUACUAUAUUCUUAACGUUUAUAGGAUAUUCUUUUCUUCUAUAGUAUUACAGAGAAUAAAAAAAUACAAAAGGAGAAGAAGAAAGAAAACAUUGUGAUGAUAAAAAUCUGAAGCUAAAUAGAAUUUGUGUGCUAUCAGCUAAGAGAGAAGAGAGAAAGAGAGAGAAAGAGAGGAAAUUGAUUCCCUAACUCAUGCUGAGCAAAACAAUAACCGUCUCUGUAUUGAACUGUAUAGAAUGAAUAUAUUCUUCUCUUUUAGAUGCAUGCUACAUUAUUGAUAGUUGUACAUCACUAACUAAUCAGCUAAUUAGUCUAAUUAGUUUAAUCUAUAUUAACUAACUCUUGUGCCAACCGUACAAUGCAAAGAGUCAAUUGUACAAUGCAAUUAAGUCACUAUUUUUGUUUCAUUACUCCUCCUUAAGCUGGAAAGUAUGAACACAUCCAAAACACCCAGCUUUAAAAUCAAAUAUUCAUGUUGUGAUCUAAUCAACCCUUUUUUCAAAAUAUCUACUUGUUGCUCAUGUGUUCUUAAGAAUAAUGGUUUAAUCAAUCCCAUUUGGAUCUUCUCCAUAAUGAAGUGACAAUCUAUUUUGAUGUGCUUUGUUCUCUCAUGAUAUACCGAGUUUGUUGCAAUUUGUAAGACUUCCUUAUUGUCACAAUAUAGUUCUACUGGCAUUUCCAGGUCUUCUCCUAAUUCUUUGUACAAUCCUGUAAUUCACACUAUCUCUGAGAUUUUAGAAGCCAUGCUCCUGUAUUCUGACUCUGUUGAGCUUCUUGAAAUGGUUGUUUGUUUCUUGGACUUCCAAGAUAUCAGAGAAUCACCAUGUUUAACUAGGAAACCUGUCAAUGAUCUCCUAGUGUUUGGGCAUGCUGCCCAAUCAGCAUCACAAUAUGUUGUCAGCUUGUUUUAUUUCCUACUACUCAUCAAUAUUCCCAUUUCAGGUUGCCUCCUUAUGUAUCUCACCACUCUUAGUGUUGCUUCCAUGUGAAAUCUCUUUGGUGCUUGCAAAAACUGACUUAGUGUUUGCACUGUAAAAUAUAUGUCUGGUCUUGUUAGAGUUAGGUAAAGCAAUCUACCAAUCUAUCUCUGAUAUGAUCUCAUAUCUUCCAAUACUGGAUCAUCUUUUACCCCAGCUAUUUCAUCCAUUUCUCUAUUAGUUAGUCUCGUAUUGUUGUCCAGUGGUGUCCAGGAGGGCUUUGCUCCAGUAAGACCAACUUUCUCUAUCAUUUCUAGAGCAUGUUUUCUUUGAUUCAUCAAUAUUCCUUUAGUAGAGCUGCUAAAUUCUAUCCCUAGAAAGUACUUUAAAGUUCCUAGGUCUUUAAUCUUGAACUUAGCAUGCAACUUUUGCUUGGUCUGCUCAAUUAACUUUAAGUCAUUCCCUACUAUCAUCAUGUCAUCAACAUAAACUAGAAUGAUUACAAUUUUCUCAUUGUGUCUUCUUAUGAAUAAUGAGUGGUCUAGUUUUCUCUGCAAGAAUCCUGAAGCAAUCAGUGCAUCUGUAAGUUUCACAUUCCAUUGUCUGCUUGCCUGUUUAAAAUCAUACAAGGAUUUAACUAGCCUACAAAUCAGUCCAUAAGACUCCGUCUGACUAGAAAAUCCUUCAGGCAGGGUCAUGUAAACUUCAUCAAAGAGAUCACCUUGAAGAAAGGCAUUAUACACAUCCAUUUGAUGGAUAUGCCAUCCUGAAGCAACAGCAAUUGACAAUACACUUCUGACAGCAACAAUUUUCAUCACAAGUGGAAAGGUAUCUUGGUAAUCAAGACCCUCUCUGGUUAUAACCUUUAGCCACCAAUCUAGCCGUGUAUCUUUCUACUUCACCCACCAAUAGGAUGUUUUCCUGGAGGCAGGAGAUCUAACUUCCAAGAUUGGCUUCAAGUGCAAGAAUUUCUUCUUGCAUUGCCUUGAUCCACUUAGGAUCAGAACAAGCUUCCUUAUAUGUCUUGGGUUCAGUAACACAAGAAAAAACAGCCAAAUAGUAUUGAUAAGUAGGUGAAAGAUGAGCAUGACUUAACACCUGAGAAAGUGAAUAUAGAGUGCUUACAGAAGCAUUAUUGGAGAUGUAAUCAGUCAUCCAAGUAGGCUACUUCUUGGAUUUUGUGGACUGUCUAGGAACAACCUCAACAGGCACAUUAAUAGCUACAGGAAGUGUGUCAUCAGCAUCAACUGACAUGGUGUUGCAUGCAAGUGGUCAACAGUUGCAUCAUGAUCAGCUUUAAUAGGAGAAUGAGGUAAUAUUUCAUCAACCUAUAUUGAGUCUUGAGAGAUUGGAAUAAAAUGAUCAAUAGAGAAGUCCAAAAAUAUAGGAGUAGGAAGAGACUUAGUUUGAAAAGGAAAAACAUUUUCCUUAAACAAAACAUCUCUCGACAAAAAAAAAAAGAGUGAGUAACUAAGUUAUAUAGAACAUAGCCUUUAGUUACUGCAGAGUACCCCAUAUGAACAGUAGGGAUUGCUCUUGCAUCAAACUUAUUCCCUGGAAGAAGCUUCUUGACAAAGCACAAGCAACCUAAUACUCUUAAAUGAGUGAGAGUAGGGAUAUAACCAUGGAAAACUUCAAAAGGAGUCUUUCCCUCCAAAGCAGAAGAAGGUAAUUUGUUCAUCAUGUAUACAGCUUCCAAAAUACAAUGUCCCCAGAACUUAAGAGGUAUUGAACCCUGAAAUAUGAUUGAUCUGGCUAUCUCCAAAAUAUAUUUGUGCUUUCUCUCCACGACUCCAUUUUACUGUGGAGUGUAAGCACAGGUUCUUUAAUGCAUUAUCACAUAGGUGGAGAAUAAGAUAUGACAAUGUGCGUUCACAAAUUUAGUCUCAUUAUCUGACCUAACCAUCUUUAUAGUUUUGUAAAACUGAGUUUGCACCAAUUGAAUAAAGUUCUUCAAAAUCAUGAAAACAUUACUUUUUAAUUUACGAAGAUAAACCCAAGUCAUUCGAGAAUGAUCGUCAAUAAUUGUCAGGAACAAUCUAUAACCAUCAAAUGUUUGAAUAUGAAAAGGGCCCCAGACAUCCAAAUAAAGUAAAUCAAAAACAGCUGCAGACUUAGUUUCAUUAAGGAAAAAUGGCAUCCCAGUAUGUUUAGCAAGAGGACAUAUAUCACAUGUAUCUAAAACAAGUUUACAAUCAUCAAAAGUAACACCAAAAAGUUUCUGCAUGGCUCCAAUAGAUACAUGUCCCAUUCUCUUAUGCCACAACAGUAUAUCCACUUUAUUUUUUAUAGCAAUCAAUCCCUUAAUAGGUCGAGCAUGGUGUUGUUCUUUCACUUUGUGUUCAAGUAAGUAUAAUCCAUCCUUUUCCUUACAGUCGCCAACACUUUUUCAUUUGAGAGGUCCUAGAAUAUACAGGAAUCAGGAAGAAAUUUGAUUGAACAAUUCAACUCUUUGGUUAUCCUAGAGACUGGCAUCAAAUUAUACCUAAAAUCAUGUAUAUAUAAUACAUUUCUAAUGGUGUGAUCAUUCAACACCUCACAAGAACCAGUAUGAGACACAUGAGCCACUUCUCUAUUAGGUACGUGAACAUUUUUGUCACUAACACAUAUUUGUGUUGGUUUUAAUAACUCAAUAUUAGAGGAAAUAUGGUUUUCUGCGCCUAUAUCAAUUAUCCAUUGUCUUAUUAUCAUUUACACAAGAAGCAGAAGCAAUAUCUGUGUUUUCAACCUCUGUAACAUGAGAUACAAAAGAGUUACCUCCCAUGUUUUCUGCUUUUAAUAUAGACAGCUUGCUUAUGCUCGCUGAACUUUCUCCUACAUGUUCUUUCUCAAGAGAUUGCAUCACCUUAUUUCAGUAAUAAGGAUUCUCUAGCAUCUUCAUCAUUUUGUCAUAGUGAGGAUGAGUGUAAGAAGGCAUCUGUAAACCAUGAUGGCCAUCAUCACCAAUUGACACUUAUUUACCAUGUGUAUAAUCUGAAAAUCUAGUAGCCUCUUUCUUCACAUAGUAAGUUCUGCCUCUAGCAUCAUCUCCUCUCAUAUUGUAUGACUUAUUUCUAGGAUCUCUAUCUCUCAUGUUAAAAUAAGCACUAACUCCAUUCUUUCUUUUUGACUUGAAAUCAGAGGGAUUACUAUGAAGUUUGAAACAAUCAUCCAUAUUGUGACCAGUCAACUUAAAAUACUCACACUUAGAAUUUCAGUGAGGAUUCCUUUUAUACUUAUUAGAGGUGCUACUUUUGUUACUCAUUAAAGCAGUUAUCUCUGCAUUUUCAGAAGGUCCAAUGGUAUGAGCAAUCACUUUUUGGCUUUCCCUCUCAAUCAUCAUAGAGUAUGCUUGAUUGACAGAUGGAAUUGGGGCUAACAUAAGAAUUUGCCUUCGAGCUUGUUCAUAUGAGUCAUUGAGUUCCAUUAAAAACUGUAACAACUUUUGCCUUUUUACAAAUUCCACAAAUUCUCGUGACUUCUCUCAAUCACAACCUGGGAAUGGGGCUAAACAAUUAAAAUCUGCCCAAAGCAAGCUCAAUUUAAUAAAAUAUUCAGCAAUGCUACUAGUACCUUGAGAGGCAGUUGCGAUUUCACGGUGCAACUGAAAAAUCUGCGAUCCAUCAACUUUAUCGAAUCGCUCUUUAAGAUCAUUCCACACAUAGGAUGCAUUUGAAGAGUAUACAAUUCCACUCAACAAUUCCUUCGAAACACGGUUCAUGAUCCAUGAAAAGAAGAUUACAUUACGAUGCUCCUAUAGAUCAGCUAGAUUUGGAUCAAAACUUGCUCUUCUGCAUGUGCCAUUGAUGAAUCCCAACUUGUUUCUUCCAAGUAUUGCAAUCUUCAUCGUCGACUCCAGACAGAGUAGUUUUCAGAUCCUGUAAACUGUAUAGAAAUUAACAAUAUUCCUGAAGUAUCCGACUUAUUGAGAUACAAUGGAUGAUUGUGCUUCAAUUUUUCUGACAGAGUAUUAUCGACUUCCACCGUCAUUCCUGUCCUAAAUUGCUUCAAAUCAGCUUAUGCAGACCGUAUUAAUGACCUUAGGCUCUAAUACCAUGAAGCUAAAUAGAAUUUGUGUGCUAUCAGCUAAGAGAGAAGAUAGACAGUAAGAGAGAGAAAGAGAGGAAAUUGAUUCCCUAACUCAUGUUGAGCAAAACAAUAACCGUCUCUGUAUUGAACUGUAUAGAAUGAAUAUAUUCUUCUCCGUUAUAUACAUGCUACAUUAUUGACAGUUAUACAUCACUAACUAAUCAGCUAAUUAGUCUAAUCUAUAUUAACUAACUCUUGUGCCAACUGUACAAUGCAAUUAAGUCACAGCUUCUGUUUCAUUAAGAUCUCAAUUGAGAUAAAAGUUAAACUUUCCGAGUCCUUCCCAUAAUUAAUUUGAUGACGAUUCGUCAUUAGAAAGAAUGGGGAGAGAAUAUGUUUUGAUGCAUAAUAUAGGUAUAUAUGUUACUGGACAACAACAGACAGUUUGCUCGGAUAGUAAGCACCCCUUACUUCCAAUCCGAAGAUUGUAAGUUCGGAUUACUAAAAGAGCAAAAAGGAUGAAGCUCUUAAGAAGGGGUAAAAAUAAUGAUUUGAUGAUAAUAAAAAUAAGUACAGUUCAAUAUCUUUAAUUUGAGUGAUCUAGUUUUAUUUUGCUGACCAAAAACAGUCUAGUUUAAUUUAUCUUUAAUUACUUUUAAAAUGAUUUAAUGUGUACAAACUUUUUACACUAUCAAUGCAUAAAGAAUAAUGUCAAUACGGAAAACGAUGGAUCAUUUGCACGACCUAUCAAAUUUCCAAAAGAGACAAGGAGCCCUGACGCGUUAUUUAAGACUUUUUGUGAGCCUAUUGCAUAAAAAAUCUAUUCGUUGCGUGUCCAAUGAAUGGAUUGAAUUUGAAUUUUGAUCGAUUAAAAACUUAAAAUGGAGUAAUUUAAUAAGUGAGUGGGUGAUCAAGUGGAUUUCUAAACAACUAAUUGUUAAAUAUUGAGUUAAUUUAAUUUCAUAUAUUAAAUGAAAUUAAUUCUUAACAAGCUAAAACUGUUACAUAAAUUGAGAUGGAGACACUAAUAUAUAACACAUUUUUUAAAAUAAAAUAAAAUUAUAUGUUAAGCAAAAGGCCCACUACCCCAUGAAAUAAGUCGAAAAAAUGAAAAAUCUUUUUCGUAAGUCGUCUAAUGGUGCUCAAUUUAACAGCUUGUUUGGAUAGUUGUUAGCUAUUGUAUUAUUUCGUAUUGUGUUGUUGGUUUAAUUAUAAUAUGUAUUUUAAUUAUUUUUAAAAUUUUAUUAUACUAUAUUGUUAAAUUCAUCGUUGUGUAACGAUGAAAUUUUUCAUUUUAUAUAGCAAUUGAUGUGGUAUGAUCAUACCGUCAUUCUUUUCCACUCAUUGUAUUUUUGGUUAUUAUUUAAUAAUUGUGUUUCAUCCUUUAUUCUUAGCUUUUUUAUAAUAACUCUACAUGUAUCCUAUUCUUUUUUAUAGAUUUAUCCUUCAAACCAUUGAUAUGUCACGUUAUAUAAUAACAAAAAAGAUAUAAUUUACUCGAACGUUAUAUUCGUAAAAUAAUAAAAUACAACAAAAUAUGAUAUACACUAUGAAACCAAUCCUAACAAUCAUCCAGACCAAACUACAACACCAAUAACAUAUUCAUGGUGCAUGCAUAUGACCUACAAGUGAGAUAUUGAGAGAUUAUGACAUUCAUAAAUCUUAUUUAUCGUAUCUUUAUUUUAAUAAGCUAUUACAGAUAGACACUCGGCUGAAAAGAAAAGUUUUCAUAUGUGAAUUAGAAUAUGACUACGAAAAAAGGAAAAAUAGAAGCAAAAAGUAAGAAGUUCUAUGACAAAGACUUCAAAGUACAGCCAAUUACAUUGAGACCCCAUUACCAAAAUCAAACCGUAAGGAUCGGAUAACUGCAGACUUCAUUUUCAAUCCAAUUAAAUGGGGUCAUUUUGUUAUACAUAAUUAAUAAUUGUCGUGUAUACAUAUAUUGUUAAUAUCCAAAGUACUAUCAGUUAAAUAUAUAAAAAGGACAAAACUAAAAAGAGAGGGUAUUCUGUCAACUUUGAUGAACUUCUAGACACGUAUUGAGGCAUCUUAAUUAUGCAUGAAAACCAACAAACAGAUAUAGCAUAGUGAAUUCAUGUGGUUUACAUUUAAUAUUCAAUUAAAAAAACUAAAAAAAAUAACUAUUUUAUUUUAUUUAUUUAGUUUUGCAAUAAUUCUCAAGUCCGUGACUCAAAAGUCCAAAAUCCAUGUUUAUUUUAUUUAGAUUACGUAUUAUAAAAGAUAAUAAAUUGCUAACUUUAAGUUCAAAGAAAUCAUUUAAUCCUGGAUUAGGAGCUAAUUAAAGGGUCAUUUGGCAUAGCCGGAUUGGACAAAUUGCAAUUAUUGAAAUUCGAGAAUGAUGAACGUAUUGAUUUUUCAGACUGAUAUCUUGGUAAUUAGAAAAAUGAAGAAAACAAAAUUAAAAAGCCAAAAAUGUGCAUCCACAAUGACCCUAAUCAAGGGAUGUGCUUUCAAUUUACUUAUUUGGAUGGCUGUUACCUAUUGCAUUGUAUAAUGUUUUGUUUGAUUAUUAAUUAAAUCUUAUUGUAUCAUAAGGUUAAAUUCAUCGUCAGGUAACAAUAAAAGGUUCUAUUUUAUGUAGCGACCAAUUUGAGACCAUGGUCUCGUUACCUUAUUUCUUUUAUUUUGUCUUUGUUUAUUAUCCAAUAAUUUUACUUUAUUCUUUAUAUUACUUUUUUUUUAUAAUAGAUCUACCGGUACCCUACUUUUCUAAUAGUUUUAGCCUUCAAAUUGCUAUGUAACAUUAUGUAACGACGAGAGAAACAAUACAAUCAGUCUAAAUAUAAUAUUCAUCGUAAUAAUAUAGUACAUAUAAUAUGAUUAAUAUAUAUAAUAUAUUAUGAAACGAUAAGCAACCACAUUCCAACAAAGUAAGGUGGAAGCCCUAAACAGGGGAAGAAAAACCACACGUUCACUCCAAAAAAAUAAUAUUGCAACUUGCAACAAUGCGUUGGAAUUUAACGCGGAAUCCCAUUUGUUUGAAAACCAAAAGUCUUUUUUAUAUUUUGUUUUACAACUAAAAACAAAUUAAUGAAUGCAUCGACUGGGACUUUUGUAUCCUAAUGAGAUACUACUUGUGUAGCUCAAUUAAGGAAAUUAUUUAAGAUUUUGUAGACUUCGAUUCGAUGUGACAAGUAAACGGGGUAUGACCCUACCGACUGUUGGGUUCAGUCGAUUCAAAGAUAUUCUUACAUGAUGUGAUAUUGCAUGCUUGGUUCAAAUCUGUAUGGUGAUAUUCAAUGGCGGAGUUAGGAUUUCCAUUGAGGGGUUCAGUAGUAUAUAUACGAACUAGUCGAAGGGAGUUCAACAUCUACUAUAUAUGUAUAAAAAUAUUUUUAAUCAUGAAAAAUAGUAUAAUUUUUCGUCGAAGUGGGUUCAGAUUAAACCCCCUGGAGCAAAGGUGGCUCUGCCACUGGUGAUACCCAAAAUGCAUCACAUCGGGGAGGAGCCAAACUUUUGGUGCUCCAGCACUCAGUAAAUUCGACAUUAGGUAUAAUUAUAUAAAAAAUGUACAAAAUCUGAAAUAGGAUUUAAAAAAACACUCAGUAAACCAAGAAGAUAGCUAGGUGUUUUAGUUUUCAGGCGGAAUCUUAAAGCUUGGGACGUCAAUAUGCAUGUUCGAACCUUCCAUGCACCGACGAUCCCUAAAUUGUGGAUCCGCCACUGCAUCACACCAUUAAGAAAUCAUAUACUAUGUAAUAUUCGAAUCUUUUUAGCCACCAAUAUAAAACUUUUAUUAGCAAACCCAACACCAACUGCUUCAAAAUGGAAUAAUGCAGGUAGUAUAUCUCUGACAAACAUUAAUCUUAAAAGUAUGUUUCUAUUUAUUUUCAGAUAAUGGUAAUGGUUAUGUCAAUUUUAGCGCUUCGACUAUUUCAUUGUGCAUUUACUUUGACACUCAUCAGUAUGAUAUUUGAGCAAACUCUACUAACUAAAUUUUAGACAAAUUAAAUUAAGUGCAUGUUUUUUUUUAAAUCUCUAGUGUUUGAAUUCUUGGUUCCAACUUUCAAGGAUGAGGACACCUAUCUCAUUAUCACAAGCCACAUACUUAGCUGCAAUUUUAAAUCGAUUUUUGAAGAGCCUUUAUUACUACAAGAGAAGUUUUCUUAUUUUAGUUAUAUAAAUUUUAAUUUUACCUUGUUAGGUAGGUAAUUGAACCAUCACCAAUAUUGUAAAAGUUCACGUCUAAUAAGACUAUUCAGAUAGGAACCCUUCUACAGUUGAAGCUUGCCAACUUUUUUAAAAUGGUCGAACUGUCCAAAAGAUAAUGUAGGUAUUACACAAUUAACCUGGCGGUCAUAAUAGGUUAAACCCAAAUUAACCGUUAAAAUUAUAUAAAAAUAGCAUUUACUGAUCACUUUUUAACCCUAGUUUCGUAAGUAGUCACAAACUCCUGAAAAUGGGAGUUGUCCCUUACUUGUGGACCAAAUUGGGCCGAACGAGAUAUUCAACUACUUGUCAAGCCAGUUGAAAAGCCCAAUACAAAGUGCUCAAUGCUCCAACUAAAAGAUGAAAUAGAAGAUCUAGAAAUUACAUAUAUAUAUAUAUAUAUANNNNNNNNNNNNNNNNNNNNNNUAUAUAUAUAUAUAUAUAAGGUAACUUUAUUUUAUUACAUAAAAUCUCAUAUUGAAAAAUAAAUUUAAAAAAUCUCAAAUUAAUUACUUAAAUUCCUAACUUUUUUAUUUUCUCUCUCUUCCUUCUUAUACAUCCUAAAUAGCUCCAUAGUUUCCUCCUAAAAUCUUGCUAGCUACCUUAUCUCUCCAAUUAUUUAUCUGCAUUAAACCUCCUUACCCACAAAUUCCGAUCUACAAUAAUCUCUCAAAAAAAAAAAAAUCUUCUCCAUUUUCUCCGUCCAAAAUCAACAAAAUCUUUUCCGGCCAAAAUUAUCUUUUCUCCGGUCAAAAUCGACAGAAUUUUCUCCAUUUUCAUCAAAAAUUCAGAAAAAAAACUGCAAUUUCAUCCAAUAUAAGCUUCUCUGAAUUCGGGAAUAUAUGCUUCUUUGAAUUUCAUCAAAAACGAAUUAAGUUGAAUCUUCUCCAUUUAAUGGUCGUGUGUUAUUAUUUCCGUUGUUGAUUUUGUUCUUGGCUCUUUUGAUUAUGAAAAAACCAAUUUCGCAGAGAAUCAUUCGAAGCACCGAAACGAUCCAGUAACAAUGAAGAAAUUGAGGGAAGUUGCCGGUUCAAGUUCAAACAAGAAAGCUCUAAAAUCGUCAAGUAAGAAAAAGGUUGAUGAUUCUGGACGACCACGUCUGCCGAAGGUUUAGUUAUCAUUAAAAUAUGUAUUAGUAGCACUAUUCUAUGUAUAUAAUUUCAUUAUACAGUUGUUAAGAUUAUAUAGUGAAGUAUAUAAGGUGGCCGUAUACAUGUGAAACAGUGUUAGAUUAUAUUUAUUACUUGUAUAAGGUUUACACAUACAUGUGAAACUGCUGUAUGAGGUUGUCUUUUAUUUGUUUUGGCGGUACGAUUCUAUGUAUAAGAUUUCACAAUACAUGUAUUAAUACUAUAUUAUUAAUUGUAGAAGGUUUACACAAAUAUGUUUAAUAAUGAAAAAAUUUCAGAAAUAGCAACUAUAGAGUCUUAAUUGUAAGUUUUAUAGCAACCCUUUCAAAAUUACAAAAAAUAGCAAUAUGUAUUUUGUAUUUGAUUAAAUUGUUGCUAGUUAAAUGCAUAUACAAUUAAAGAUUCUGUUCCUAAUUUAACUCCAAUCUGUUUUAGUUUAAUAUGGGAAAAACGGUUCCUUAAUUUAAGGAACAUUUAAUUUGACAGAUUUCUUAACCGUUUACAAAUAUCUUUCUUUUAAUGACUCUAUUUUAACCACAACCAUUAUUUUACAGUAACAUAAUUCAAAAUUCAAAAACUUUUUUCAUAAUCUACAACUCAUAUCAAUUUUAAAAAAAAAAACGACUGCUUUCAAAAUUUAUGUGCAUCGUCUAAUGUUUUGAGAAGAGUUUGAUAAGACAACACUGCAAAUACAGGUAUCAAUAAACAAAUAUGAUUUUGUUUGUGAAUUUUCGGACUAUAUUUGUGAAAAUCGCUGAAAAAAUCGUAACAACAAUGGUUUGAUCAGUUUUCGAACAAAGUGGUUUGAUCGAUAAUUUCUUUUUACAAAUUAGAGUUUUUCAUCACGUUAUGUAGGUUGAAUAUUGAUAUACAAUUGUUAUUGUUUAUUUUGUAUUUUUUUCCGUUUCAAUUAAACAAUUUGUUCUUGUUGGAUUUCGUUUUGAAGUUUUGUAUAUAAUAAUAAGUUAUUGUGUCAAAGGGUUUGAACAUUGUAGACCUGUAAUAAUCGUUGAUGCAAAUCAUCUCAGAAAACUGUAUACUAGUACUUUUGUAACUACUUAUACCAUGGAUGGAAUCAUAAGUCCUUCUUAUAUAUGCAUUUAACAUUGCAUAUACUGCCAGCUAUAUGUAUUUGUAAAAUACAUAAGCAGUCUGUUUAUGUGAUCACUGGUAGUUACUUUUAUGUAUUUCAAUUUACAUAUGUUGCCAGCAAUAUGGAUUUCAAAAAUACAUAUGCACUCUGUUUUAAGUGUUUGAUUGCAUUUAUUUUUAAAAAAAAAUAAAAAUAUGAAGGCCUUAUAUUUCUAAAAAUACAUAUUGAGACAUGCAAUAUACAUAUGCAGAAUUGGUAAAAUACAAUUGCUAAAUUGGAACAAUUACAAAUGUCAAUGAAUAAUUGUUGUUAUAAUUUUAAUUUUAUUUUAAUAAUUUCAGGUUAUACCAAUCUCAGAGUAUGUCUAUACAGUACAUGACAAGGAUAAACAUUUUAUUGUUUGCCUUAAGAAAAAAAAUUCUUGCCAUGCAUUCCAAUAGGACGAGAUACCGUGUUUGCAUGUUUAUGAAGUACUUGAUAGCAAGAAUUUUCAAAAGGGAUCAUAUUACUCUAACCUAUACAAAUCAAAAACUGUGUCAAGAACGUAUGAUCUUCCCAUUUAUCCUAUACCACACAAAUAUGAUUGAGUGAUUCCACAGGAGAUAUUGGAGGAGAUAGUUUUGCCCCCAAAAUACAAGCGACCCCCUGAAAGACCUGCAAAGAAGGAUUGUGAAAAGUCAGAAAGAGAUAUGUUCGAGAAGAAAAACAAAAAUUAUUAUAGUUCAUGUGGAUUUAAAGGUCACAAUUGGUGUUCAUGUAGGAAAUAUAAUAAAUGAUAAGUUUACAGAUGUAUUCAGUUCAAAAGCAAUUGUUUUUUUUAUUGAUUAUUUUAUGAUUCUAAAUUUUGAUACAAACUUUUGAUGAUGUUGACUUUGUUGUAGUUAAAUUGCUGCAAAUGUUAUCAUCAUGAAUAUAUUUUAUAGGACAUAUACCAUUAUUUAUUUAUACGUAAAAGAGUGUACACCAUACAAGUCAAUUUUUUGGUAUGAAAAAUACAUAUGAGAUUCUAAUAAAAACGUAUACCGAUCUAUAAAAACUAAAAAUAAGUUAACAUAUAUUUAUGUAAUAAUUAAAAUUACAUUUAAUGACUUAUCAAUUACUUAAUUAGAACUUGAAAUUCAUUUAUUUUUAAAAAAAAAAAAAACAUAUGCAUUAAUCAUAAAUAAAUAUGCAUUAUUCAUAGAUAUAUACGAAUAACUAUGUAUGUAUAAAUCAUAAAUACAUAUGCUUCUUAAAAAUACACAGACUUAUGCAAAACAAUACAACAACUUUGUAUUGUUCGAAAGUAUAUGUGCAUAACUGGAAAAAAUAUAUAUGCAUUACUCAAAAUGCAUAUGCAUUAUAAAAAAAUACAUAUUCAUACAAUGAAAAAUAUUAUAUGCAACCUCAACUUACCUUAUAUGUAUUACAAAAAAAUACAUAUGCAUACAAUGAAAAAUAUAAAUACACUAUUGAAAAAUACAUAUGAUGACUGAAACAUAUAUAUUCAUUACUGAAAAUUAUACUUAAAACUGAAAAUCACAUAUUCAUACCAAAAUAUGUGUAACUAACAAUAACAUAAAGUAAGAUCGAACAAUUCUAUUUUAGAAGCAUAACGAUCAAAAAUCUAACAAUCACAUAAAAAAAUAUUAAGAUAUCAUCUUUCAACUAUAUCAUAGUCCUCCUAAAGUUCAAUGUUGCCAAAUACAACAAAUACAAAUAAACUUCAAAUAUCAUGCACUUUAGUAUCUUCUAUUAGCCCAAUAUCUUUAGGAGGCCUCAUUGGUGUUUCAUCAUCACUUUCAGCCUUCCCAUCUUCUUUCCUCGAAGCAUAAUUUCACAACAUUAAAAUAGAUCUCGUGCGAAGAAGAUCUGGAUCAAAGUCAAUAGUUGAAACACAGUCAUCAAAAGUAAGGCACUUAGCAUAUGUCACCAUAUAUAAAAACUUAGAACAAACAAAUACAAAAUACAUAUCUAACCCCUAGCAAAUGCAUUAUAUAUAAUUACAACAUACAAAAUACGUAUCUUAAAAAUAACAAAUACAUAUCUCCACACUACAAUUCCAUAUCUUCACAAUAACUCUCACAUAAGCAGAUAAUUUAUCAAAUGUAUAUAUAAAAUACAUAUAUGAUCAUACAGUCCAAAAAAAAUUAAAAUACAAAUGCAUAAAAUUUUAUGAAUACAUGAAUGGUCUAAAAUUUAAAUUACCAAGAAAAGAAUACAACUGAACAUCAAAUACAAAUCUUCUCAAUAACUAAUACAGAUAUCCUACACAUAUCUUAAAUACAAAAUACAUAUAUUAAAUAUGUUAUACAUAACAAAACAAAUCUUAUCAGUAACAAACCUAAAUACAAAAUACAUAUCUUAAAUAUAUAACAGAUACAUAUCAUCCCAUUAGCAACUGCNNNNNNNNNNNNNNNNNNNNNNNNNNNNNNNNNNNNNNNNNNNNNNNNNNNNNNNNNNNNNNNNNNNNNNNNNNNNCAGAAAUUAUAAAAUUUUACAAAUAGAAAAAUACCUCUUCCACUUUCUCUUCUUCAGAUUCAUAAUCAGAUAAAAAAACAAGACUUGAAAUUUGACAAGAUUCUCCUUUUUCAUCCGACUUUCUCUUUUUCACCAAUUUUUAAAUUUUUGUGAGUUUUGGGGAUGAAGAUUUUCUCAAUGCUUUUCGUUUCAUGAUUUCCACAAUCUUUUUCGGAUCGUUACGCUGAUUCGAUCUCACCUCUACUUUGCUAACANNNNNNNNNNNNNNNNNNNNNNNNNNNNNNNNNNNNNNNNNNNNNNNNNNNNNNNNNNNNNNNNNNNNNNNNNNNNNNNNNNNNNNNNNNNNNNNNNNNNNNNNNNNNNNNNNNNNNNNNNNNNNNNNNNNNNNNNNNNNNNNNNNNNNNNNNNNNNNNNNNNNNNNNNNNNNNNNNNNNNNNNNNNNNNNNNNNNNNNNNNNNNNNNNNNNNNNNNNNNNNNNNNNNNNNNNNNNNNNNNNNNNNNNNNNNNNNNNNNNNNNNNNNNNNNNNNNNNNNNNNNNNNNNNNNNNNNNNNNNNNNNNNNNNNNNNNNNNNNNNNNNNNNNNNNNNNNNNNNNNNNNNNNNNNNNNNNNNNNNNNNNNNNNNNNNAAAAGGAUAAAUUGCUUGAAAAUAGGUAAAGGAAAAGCAAUUGGUGGAAUUCACAUGCUUAACUCUAGAAAAGUCAAAAUAUUGCUAGUUUUGACAUAAGUUGUAAUUUUGAGAAAGUGUUGUUAUUAAUUGUAAUUAACAUCUUAAGGUUGUUAGCUUCUGUAAUUUAUCUUUUAAUAAUGUACUAAAAUUUGGUAACCUUAUACAUGAAAUUAUAUUGUAUGGAGAUAUCGUAACAUUGAAUUGGUUGAUCCAUACAAACGCUUCACUACAUGUAUAUUAAUUACUAUAGCAUAAGACGAUACAAUGAUAGCUGCAAAAGAAAAAAUUCUCACGAAAAUAUUGUACGAUGAUAUAGAUAUCAUGUCAAAAUAUUUCAUCAUACAUAAGUCUAUAUGUAUGAUGAGUCAUUAUACAUUAGUAUACCAGAUUUUUACACAUUUAAUAAUGUAUAGGAACAAUCAAUACAAUAGUAAUUACAUUAACCGCAGUAACAUAUUAAAAAACGAACUUCUUUAAGAAUCUAUAACAAUCAAAUUUUCCAUAUUUAUUCAACGUAUAAUAUAAUACAAUACAUAUCAGAAAAAAAUAACAAAACUUAACAACUAUAAUACGACAACUGCAAUUUCUAUUAAAAUAUGUAUUAGUGGCACUAUUCUAUGUUCAUAUUGAUUUUUUUGAGAACUGAAGAAAGCACUAGAAGAUGGGUUUUUUUUAACGCAAUUUAACAAAGAAGAAAAUUUAAUGUGAUGUUUAACAUAUAUUUUGAAUUUAAAUUUCACUUAUUAUAUUUAAUAAUACAUCACUAAAUAUUAAGUAAUUAAUGGCGUGAAUUAAGGAACAGGUUGAUAUUAUCAAAUUUAUUUUUACUUAGAUAUAGCCUAUUCAGCUUUAUCAUACAUUCCAGCAAUACAUGAAGGUUGACCAGAUGUAUAAGUAUCUUUUUCAAAACAGGGAGAGAGAAAGGCUGGAGGGAUUUUAUAUAAUUACUUUCAUUUACUAAAGGAUUUACAUAGUUUAUACAAAAAGAUUAAAAGAAAAAUAUUUCUUUACACAUUGUACUAAGAAUUUGUGGGAUCUUGAUUUGUCGUCUACGCUGAGUUAUGAUCAUAUCACACGUAUUUGCGUCAGUAUAUAUUGACCCAAACUAGCUUUUAAACCAUUUAAUUGCACCACCUAUCUUUGGACUUGGUUUCAAUUGUUGUUCUUCAAAUGAUGGUCUUCUAUGAUCGCGGUAUCCGAACCAAUUUUCACGCAACUCGCUAAUCGAACUUAUAUCUAGUGAGACAUGCAUUCUUUAAGAGCACGAGACAUAAUUUGUGAGUUAUCAUAAUGUGAAAAUAUAAACUUAUGCCCUACUAAAAAGUUAAUUUGACUUAACGGGCAAAGUUUUUUAUUUUUUUGAUUAAGAAAAAUCGUUCCUAAACAGCAGCCGAGCAAGCGAUGACGACAUGAGGCACCUCUUGGUUCUUGCCUUACUUCACGGGCAAAGUUUUAGACCAGCACAAAAUAAGGGCAAAAGCAAAUGACUCGCCUUACCCAGAUUGACACCCCUAACAAAUAGAAUUCAUAGGUCCAAUAAUUGAUUUCAUAAACUUUAACAAAUUUAACUUCUAUCAUCACUUUCCAGUAAUUGGUUAAUCAUUUUGCCAAUGCGGGGAAUAUUUCCAUUAAUCUUCAAGAAUCCAUAGAGUCAUUACU